rnacentral:rRNA from 1 species
CCCUUAGAUGUUCUGGGCUGCACGCGCGCUACACUGAAGCUAUCAACACGUUUUCCCUCCCUGAGAAGGGCGGGUAACCUUUUGAAUCAGCUUCGUGGUAGGGAUCGGGGCUUGCAAUUGUUCCCCGUGAACCAGGAAUUCCUAGUAGACGCGAGUCAUAAGCUCGCAUCGAUUAAGUCCCUGCCCUUUGUACACACCGCCCGUCGCUACUACCGAUUGAAUGAUCCGAUGAAUAUCAUGGAUUGAGGAUGCAAGCAGGUUCGCCUGUCUUCAUCUUCGAGAAGUGAAGUAAAUCUUAUCAUUUAGAGGAAGGAGAAGUCGUAACA